UGGGGAAUCUUCCGCAAUGGGCGAAAGCCUGACGGAGCAACGCCGCGUGAGUGAAGACGGCCUUCGGGUUGUAAAACUCUGUGAUUCGGGACGAAAGAUAAGCAGACGAAUAAUCUGCAUAAGUGACGGUACCGAAAAAGCAAGCCACGGCUAACUACGUGCCAGCAGCCGCGGUAAUACGUAGGUGGCAAGCGUUGUCCGGAAUUAUUGGGCGUAAAGCGCGCGCAGGCGGCUACUUAAGUCCAUCUUAAAAGUGCGGGGCUUAACCCCGUGAUGGGAUGGAAACUGAGAAGCUGGAGUGUCGGAGAGGAAAGUGGAAUUCCUAGUGUGGCGGUGAAAUGCGUAGAGAUUAGGAAGAACACCGGUGGCGAAGGCGACUUUCUGGACGACAACAGACGCUUAGGCGCGAAAGCGUGGGGAGCAAACAGG
rnacentral:rRNA from 1 species